UUUACUAAUAUUCUCUAAUUCAUAGCAAAUUGGGGUGUGAUAACAAACAGAUUGAAGAGAUUAUAAAUGGGGAGAAGGAAGCUGGCUUUCUGUCUUGGUAUAAAAAAUAAUGAAGAAAUAUGUGGUCCUUUGGAAAGCUCAUUGAGUCCUUGGCAACCACUAAUGAAGCACAAAGAACUCUCUAAUUUUAGAGUGAUGUAGUAAGGAAAGGUUUCCACAGCGUUACAGGAGACUAUCCUUGAAAGAGCACCGCCAAAUCUGGUCAAUGUAAAGAUAGCUUUUUAGCAGAACCAGAAUUUUACCACAGAUAUACUUUCGGAGUGCGAGCCACUGUUCAGUGCUUUCCUGCUUGGCUUGCUUCAUCCAGUGCCUGUGCUGGUACUGUGACACAAGAAGAGCCUCUUGUCAUCCAUUAAAUGCUGCCUGGCAAAUCCUCUACGACUUUCUUCACCAGGACAUUUCCAGCCCUUUACAGCUCUCACAAAGUUAGGCUGAGGUCUCCGAUCUAAGCCCUUACUACUGCAAUCUGUUGCCCUGGACUCUGCCAUCCCUGCUGCUGGUUCUGCUGAGGCUCCAGAACCUGGUCAACUCAGAUUAGCCUUGAAUACAGUUUUAAUCUCAUUACAAUUAGCAGUUUUUAUCAGUAAGACUUGCAGUCAGUUGGUAAAACUUGAGAUCCUAUUUCAAUCCUGUCUGUUGCUCAGUGGCUUUAACUUAUGAGUGCCUUGGGUUUUAAUUCAGUGGUUUAGAGUGUUUUUUUGUUUUUGAAGUUUUUUUUUUCUUGUUUUUUCUUGGGGGUGCUGGGGAGGUUGAAAUUUCCUUGUUUAUUAAUGAGGUUAAGAAAUGGUUAGGUGCACAAGAAUCCCUCUCUCAACCAAGUAUAUUUUUAAUCAUUUUCUUUGACGAACUUGUAAGAAUUGUCUACAGCCCACUUAACUGCAAAUUGAGUUCUCUCAUCGCUCCACUUUCUCAUCUCCAUGGCAUUCUGCUAUGACUUGCUACUGCUCUUCUGUUGGAAGUAGGAAAAAAAAAAGCUUUUAAGUUCAGAACCACAUACAGACACACCUUUUUGAAUUUUUAACAUUUUCCCAAGAACUGUAAAUCAGUGAUUUCCCAUCCUUGUACUAAAACACAUUCCUUCUUUGUCUGUUGAGAAAAGGGCAUCAGCCCACACCUUACACAGUGCAAAGAGCUGUGACUCAUGCAGAUUAGUAACGUGCUUUUUAAAUACUCACGUAAAUUGUUCUCAGUAACCUUUUCUGUGUGGCUCUACUGGGAGAUAUAUUCUGAAGUGCGAAACUGUUGGUCUAACAUGUAUCUGACGCCAUGUCAGA